rnacentral:snoRNA from 1 species
ACUCACUGAUGAGUAGCUUCUGACUUUCAUUCUUCUGAGCUUGCUGAACCCAGAUGCCAUUCCUGGGAAGG